rnacentral:rRNA from 2 species
GGAUGAACGCUAGCGGCAGGCCUAACACAUGCAAGUCGAGGGGUAAGGAGAGCUUGCUCUCCCUAGACCGGCGCACGGGUGCGUAACACGUGUACAAUCUACCUUUUGCUAAGGGAUAGCCCGAAGAAAUUUGGAUUAAUACCUUAUAGUAUUGUUUGGUGGCAUCACUGAAUAAUUAAAGCUCUGGUGGCAAAAGAUGAGUACGCGUCCCAUUAGCUAGUUGGUGUGGUAACGGCAUACCAAGGCUACGAUGGGUAGGGGUCCUGAGAGGGAGGUCCCCCACACUGGUACUGAGACACGGACCAGACUCCUACGGGAGGCAGCAGUGAGGAAUAUUGGACAAUGGUCGGAAGACUGAUCCAGCCAUGCCGCGUGCAGGAUGACGGCCUUAUGGGUUGUAAACUGCUUUUAUACAGGAAGAAUAAGGUCUACGAGUAGAUUGAUGACGGUACUGUAUGAAUAAGCAUCGGCUAACUCCGU